rnacentral:rRNA from 1 species
AGAGUUUGAUCCUGGCUCAGGACAAACGCUGGCGGCGUACCUAAGACAUGCAAGUCGAACGGGGCUCACCGCUUCGGCGGGGAGUCGAGUGGCGGACGGGUGAGUAACGCGUAGGAACCUGUCGCGGAGUGGGGGAUACCGCUGGGAAACCGGCGCUAAUACCGCAUGAGCUCAGAGAUGAGAAAAGCAGCAAUGCGCUCGGUGAGGGGCCUGCGUCCGAUUAGCUGGUUGGUGGGGUAAACGCCUACCAAGGCGACGAUCGGUAGCUGGUCUGAGAGGAUGGUCAGCCACACUGGGACUGAGACACGGCCCAGACUCCUACGGGAGGCAGCAGUUAGGAAAUUUUCCCAAUGGGCGCAAGCCUGAGGGAGUAACGCCGCGUGGAGGAUGACGGCCUUCGGGUUGUAAACUCCUUUUCUGUGGGACGAGAAGAAGACGGUACCGCAGGAAGAAGCCUCGGCUAACUACGUGCCAGCAGCCGCGGUAAUGCGUAGGAGGCGAGCGUUGUCCGGAAUUACUGGGCGUAAAGGGCGCGUAGGCGGCGCGACGCGACCGGUGUGAAAGCCCCCGGCUCAACUGGGGAGGGUCAUCGGUAACGGUCGUGCUGUGAGUGCAGGAGAGGGAUGUGGAACUCCGGGAGUAGCGGUGAAAUGCGUAGAGACCCGGAGGAACACCAGUGGCGAAGGCGGCAUCCUGGUCUGCGACUGACGCUGAGGCGCGAAAGCUAGGGGAGCAAACGGGAUUAGAUACCCCGGUAGUCC